CUUCAGGGUACUUAUGCAAUGCGGGGUCAAGGGCUGUCUACAGAACUCAAAACCAGAUCUUUAGGGAGUGCUAGGAGAAGAGACGGAGCUGAAUAGAGAUGCUUGGGCAUGACUCCUUGGCAGGGAAACCCAGCAAACCACUAUUUACCUCUUAGUGUGGCCUUGGGAAAAGGUCCUGUGACCAAUGAAAGUGAUAAGAGAAUUGAGAAUGUGGUGAUCGGCGGCACAGUAGAGAAGGAAGAUGCAAAGGGAAACUGGAAAGGCUCUUGAUGCGGAAGGGGGAGACGCUGGGGCCAAGUGCCUCUCAUGGUGAAGACAGUACACAGCAGAGUACAGUUCUUGCCCUCUGGGAGCUCAUCAUCCAAUGGGCACAACAGACAGAUGAUUUAUGAUGUAGCUCUCAUGACUGGAGAACAAAGCAACACUGAAACACAGACGAGAACACCUGAAACAAGACAAGCCUCAUGGUCAAGAAAGCUUCCUGGAGCACUCUUCUUGUCACUGCACAAGAUAUUCCUAAAGCCAGAGCUUGUAACUGGUCGCCUUACUACCUCCACAGUGCCUACUAGUCCCACUGGCUUACUAACCCUUCAUAAAUAUCACUCGUCCCUUUGCGUAACAGUUUUCUACAUUGUUCUAUAGCCAAACAGUUUCUACAACUUUGCAAACCCAUGAUUGAACGCAUUGUUCUUUUUGUUUCUUUAAACUUGAAUUAAAUGUUUACCUAACUGUAGAAUAUCAAGAAAAAUCCCACGUCUUCUUU